ensembl:lncRNA LINC00943 long intergenic non-protein coding RNA 943
CUCUCCGUCCCCGGCUCCGCCAGCAGCAGUCCCGGAGAGAUUUCCCCUCCCCGCCGCCCGCGCUCUCUCUCCUCCUGCGCCCAGGCCGGUCUCCGGCUCCGGAGUCGGACGGCGACGGUGCAGAUGAGGGCGCACAGGGGACGGUCCUGGAGCCCGGGAAGGGUGCGAGAUGGAGACGGCGGUUCAGAAAAGUUGUCAGGUCUCCAGCCCGGGCAGUGGCGGGAGCUGGAGCCGCGGUGGAGACGACUCGAGGGGACGCAGCCCGCCUGGCACAAAGGGCCACGGGCGCGAGGGACUCGAUGAGCUGGGAGAUCGCGGCCCCGGCAGGUGCGGCGCGCUGGGGCGGGUGCUUGGCGCCUUCCCCGGCACAGGACAUACUUUAUUCAGCUGGGUGCUGAAAAAGAAUCUUGGAAAUUAGGAAACUGAAUGAGGCCUCAUUUCACACUCAGAAUGUGGGUUGCAAUAGUCACUUCCUCUGCUGCUGGGAAAGAAAGAAUUAUACUACCUUUUGAAUUUUGGAUUAAGGAGAGAGGUGUUGGCUUGUCAAACUACCAUGUAUUCCUCAAGACAUAUUUUUGUGGCUUUAUAAAAUUCAAUAUAUAUGUCUAAAUUCAAAAAUAUUUUGUUGCAAUCUGGCCCUUGGACAAACUGAGGCCCUAGCAACUGAUGUUUAUGGCUUUCCGUAGAACCUUUCAGAUAAAAUUUACACAGCAUUUUACUGCAGCUAUUUCACACAAAGCAGAGGAUUUUGCCACAAAACUGAAAGAAAAAAGAAACUGCAUUCUUAAAUUUUUCAUAAAUCAAAAGGUAUAAAAAUAUCUACCUAAACGAUAAAGGAGAUGAGAAACCCCACCCAUGAUGGGAAGAAAGCCUAUUUCAGUUUUGCCUUUACUUCAAGUUCUUUUUUCCAUAUCUGGAAUGCAAUCAGAAUUUUAAUCUUGCCUUGGGUUCCUCCUGGAUUUGGGGAGAAGACAAAACCUGAAAAUCUCUAAUCUGCAUGUGUUCAGCUGCGUAUCUUCUGGAUACGGAAGGAUCACACUGCACAGAGUGCUGGACUUGCAGGAGCCCCGCUUCUCAACCUCCAUCGCUUUAUGAAUGAAUUCACCAGAAAGAAAAGGAAGAAUCAACACUUUCAGAGAUGGAGCCUGUUGAGCCACAGUACCAACUAGUCAAUGCUGAAUCGACUUCUCCCUUUCUACAUUGCCUGAGAGAAGUCAUUGGGGAAUACUCUAGAGUCAAGGGAUUGGAUUGUGGAUUGCAUUGGUGGUUUUCCUCAGUUUCCUCAUCUUCUCCACAAGUUUCUACAUAUCGAAUGCAGAGCAGCCCUUCUUCAAAGGACCUCCUACGGAAGCUGCUAAGGAACUCAGUCUGUAGCUCUGCGUGGAGCCAUGUGUAAACACUGAACUGAGACCUGCCACCUCCUACUACCUAAGGGCCCAUUUUCAUCUGAUAUCAUCCCCCAGAAACAAACUCAUGAUGACUUCCAUGUUUUUUUUAGAUUAGAUACAUGGAGAAUUUUCCUUUCCCUUAGAAUUAAAAUCCUGCAUUCUAAUUUUCAGUAAGCUUUUUUAUUUCUGAAUAAUUUUAAAUUUAAAGAGAAGUUGCAAAGAUAGUAUAGAAUGUUCCCUUAUACCUGUUUUUAUUUAGAGUGAUGUUCCCAGGAGAAAUGAUAAUGCAGCAAUGGACAAGAACAGGAACAAGAGACAGUCUUACCAUCUUCUUACAAUUUAUAGAUGGGACAGUGGAAAGAGAAGCCACAUCGGGGUUGGGCAUGCAGAGACCUGGUCCUAAAUCUGUGUGACUUUUGCGAAAUCCUUUUGCCUCACAGAGCUCUAGGUUCUUAUCUGUCAAACAGGAACCAGACCAUCAGAUCCGUAGAGAUCCAACCAAUGAAGGAGACUUCGAAAACUUCACAUUGCCGUGUCAAUGUGAGGUUGCUGGAUGGUUAUGACAAGAAAUCACAUUAAAUUCACUGGGGUAACAUUGUUCAUGAAACGGGAUAAUGUGUUUCAGCGAUGAACCACCCAUGGCCUUACUACAGACAUAUUUCCACUUUGAAAAUGUGUGUGAGUGUACAUGUCUGUGUGUGAGGCAGAGAUUAGAAAGUGUAAAUGUGUGCGUUUUCAUUUUACACAUCUUACAUUUUCCUUUAAUUUGUUUGAAAGCCUGUUUUGUUUGUGGCUUCCAUUCCUGGAAGUCCCAUGAGUUGUUAGUGGUGAAGAUGGAACAGAUGUGUCCAACCCGGGGGACUCCUGCCCUCAGGGACUGAGCAGCUGCAAACCUCUCUCUCAUCUGAUUCCACUGUUUCUUCCACAUGUACACAUCAUGAGAAAUAUUGUUCAAUCAAUAUCUUCCCUUAAAUCAACUCAUAUGCUUAUUUACAUGAAUUUACCUAAAACAGAAACUUGAUAUCACUUCUGUAAAUGAAAAAAUUAAACUUUCUGGCUUUAAAUAAAGCAUAACAAUAAUAAUCAUGUCAAAAUUACCUCUCCAGUGUUAUGAAGUUCAAGUUAGGGGUGAAGAUUCCUGAAGGCCCUGGUCCUAGGUCAUAGUUGUUCCUGAUUAAAGGGGAGACGGACAAGUGUUCAAAAGGGUCAAAGACAUAGUCCCCUCAAUUGAGACUUCCUUCUGAAAUUAAUCAGAAAGUUUAAAAGAGAGUUCUUCCUCAUUUUGUUAAUUACUUUCACAUAUUAAUAUAUAUUAACAUUUUAUAUGGUAAUAUGUUUUUGACAUUCCCCUCUAAAAUGUUCUCAUGGGCUGGCAGUGGUUUCUUAUAUUAUGGGAGCCCUACUCUUUACUGAAUUUUGUCCUUCUGUCAUAGGGUAAAACUUUUUCGUCUCUACAGAACUCUCUCCAAGUGCACACCCAUAGAUUGGUUUGCUUGUGGAAUCCUAGCAUAUCAGAAAUGAAGGAAUCUCAGAAAUUGUUUUCAUCAAACACCUCAUAUGCAGAAGGCAAAAUGAAGGUUCAGAGCAGAAAUGAUUUGUCCAAGGAUGCAACACUCAUCUGCAGCAGAGGGAAGCUGAGCUCUGCAGACCCACCUAGCACUGCAGAGGCAGCCCUCUAGGACAAGGCUUCAUAAAAAAGUGACUUUAUGAGUUGGCUCCAUAAAAAAGAUACAGAUUAAGAAAUUGUUUAAACAGUGAUCUCUAUAUAAUUACUCUUUUAUUUAAAAGUAUGGGCUGGGAGCGGUGGCUGACGCCUGUAAUCCCAGCACUUUGGGAGGCCGAUGUGAGCAGAUAACCUGAGGUCGGGAGUUAGAGACCAGCCUGACCAACAUGGAGAAACUCCGUCUCUACUAAAAAUACAAAAUUAGCAGGGUGUGGUGGUGCAUGCCUGUAAUCCCAGCUACUCGGGAGGCUGAGGCAGGAGAACUGCUUGAACCCAGGAGGCAGAGGUUGUGGUGAGCCGAGAUCGCGCCAUUGCACUCCAGCCUGGGCAACAAGAGCGAAACUCUGUCUCAAAAUAAAUAAAUAAAUAAGUAUUCCUUUCCCAGUCUUUUGCUGUGUGGAGCCAAGAUUUUUAUUUGCAGAAGUCUGCAGGGCUGGUGUGAUCUCUUUCAGUCAUAAACCAUAACCUUCCUAACGGGCCAUCUGCAAUAUCCAGUUGUGUUUUCUCGAAUGUGGGGAAAUGACUUAAAGACACUUCAGAAUCAAUUGGAGGAAGGGACCGUUCCAGAGCUUAAUUUUCCGUUGUGUUUUAGAGUUCUGUUGUCCACACCUAAUUUGUCAGAAAUGGUUUUAGUCAUGUUGUUUUGUAGAAUCUUUCCACAGCAUUUAUGCUCCUUUUCAUAGAAGCGGCUCAAUCUGCUCACGGAUUUAUAUAGUAUAGAUUAAAGGAGGGCAGUGUAAUAAUGCCAUAACAGAGGCUGGUACUAAGCUUAAAGCACCCCUGAUGGGAGCAGAAAUGCCCUGGCAGCUGGAGAGAGAGCCAGCACCUAGAGCGAGCGCCCCCUGCUGGCCAUGGAGGGGAAUGGAGGGUGUGGGAUCCCCUGCAAGCAGGUUAAGUGGAGGUUGUUUCAAAAGCUUCUUCUCUAAUCUUUCUGGAUACUACAGAUGAUUUACAUGAAACUCAGUGUGAUGCUUUAAUAGACCAAUGAGAUCAAGUUAACAAAUAGAUCCUAGAAAUUAUACUAUUUUUAAUGUUUGUGAAGUACCUGCUCAGCCAGGUGUUGAUGGAGGACAGAGGAUUAAGAGGAAGCCUUGAGUUACAGGGACCGAAGCAGCUGCUGUGUGGAUUCAGAUCUGGGCGAUACCGCCCCAAGGCUCGUUCUUCCAGCAUUUCUAUCAUUCUCUCUCUCUGUCUUAUAGGCAAAUGAGAUGAUGUUUCCGGGUCAAUACAUGACGGGAUUAACUGGGAUAGAGAAACGUGGUUUUAGGAUGUGAGUCUCCAAAAUUUCUAUGGUUCAAAUGUGGGAUCUCACAUGAUGGUCUUGGGCAAAGAGAAUAUCAUUGAUUCUCAAGAUUUAAACACAGGAGAGCCUCUCACUCCUCCCAAAGCUACGAAGGGGAUGGAGAUGGCCCAGGGACAUUCGAAUCGGAACUCAAGAUCAGUAUUGGAGACCCCACCCUGUGACAUAGACAUCAUGGACAAGUUCCUUGAAUGUUGGAGCUUUAUUUUCCUAUUUGAUAAAAUGAGAAUUAUAGCUUCUGUGGAGGGCACGGGGGUGGUCUCUGAGGAUCACAGGAGAUAAUGCACAUCGAAAUGCUUUGAAAAGCAUCAAGUACUGAAAAAUGUCCAGCUUAGCUAUUAGUAACAGUGACUGUGUUGGGAGUCUGGGCUUUCUCCUGUCCAGCUAGAAACACUUUUAUUGUGCUAUUUUUAGUGUUACACCUGCACAUGCUUGUUUGAGCAGGUAUUAAUGGUAUAAAGAUGCCAGGCUCAGGCCCACAGUGGGCCAGUUGUUCUAUAAUUUGUUCUAUAAUAGCAUAACUUGACAACAGCUAAAUGCCAUAAAAUGAAUUGAGGAUGGGGUGUGGGGGUGAAGACACUGCCUAACUCCUCCCCACUGUUGGGGAAUGAUAUCCAGCCUGUCACCCACUGAUGGCAGGUUAUGUAGGAGAAGCAGAUCUAUUAAAAUAGAAGCACAGCUGCAUGCCAUGAUUACUUCUCUAAAGUUAUUGUCUAGCUCUGCACUUGAUCCUCCUCUGAUAAUACUCAAGAAAUAGAACACCAAAGUUUGCUUGUUUUAAAUUUGGUAAUUAACGUCUGUUUUGCUUACACUAAUGGUUUCUCGCGGGAAGGAUGCGUGCA